AUUGAACGCUGGCGGAAUGCUUUACACAUGCAAGUCGAACGGCAGCACGGGAGCUUGCUCCUGGUGGCGAGUGGCGAACGGGUGAGUAACAUAUCGGAACGUACCCAGUCGUGGGGGAUAACUCUCCGAAAGGAGAGCUAAUACCGCAUACGUCCUGAGGGAGAAAGCGGGGGACCUGCAAGGGCCUCGCGCGAUUGGAGCGGCCGAUAUCGGAUUAGCUAGUUGGUGGGGUAAAGGCUCACCAAGGCGACGAUCCGUAGCGGGUCUGAGAGGACGACCCGCCACACUGGAACUGAGACACGGUCCAGACUCCUACGGGAGGCAGCAGUGGGGAAUUUUGGACAAUGGGGGCAACCCUGAUCCAGCCAUUCCGCGUGAGUGAAGAAGGCCUCGG
rnacentral:rRNA from 1 species